rnacentral:rRNA from 1 species
AUUGAACGCUGGCGGCAUGCUUUACACAUGCAAGUCGAACGGUAACAGGCCUUCGGGUGCUGACGAGUGGCGAACGGGUGAGUAAUGCAUCGGAACGUACCCAGAGGUGGGGGAUAACGCAGCGAAAGCUGUGCUAAUACCGCAUGUGAUCUGAGGAUGAAAGCGGGGGACCGAGCAGCAAUGUUUGGCCUCGCGCCUUUGGAGCGGCCGAUGUCGGAUUAGCUAGUUGGUGGGGUAAAGGCCUACCAAGGCGACGAUCCGUAGCUGGUCUGAGAGGACGACCAGCCACACUGGGUCUGAGACACGGCCCAGACUCCUACGGGAGGCAGCAGUGGGGAAUUUUGGACAAUGGGCGCGAGCCUGAUCCAGCAAUGCCGCGUGCGGGAAGAAGGCCUUCGGGUUGUAAACCGCUUUUGGCAGGAACGAAACGGUGUCCGCUAAUACCGGGCGCUAAUGACGGUACCUGCAGAAUAAGCACCGGCUAACUACGUG